rnacentral:tRNA from 1 species
GCCUCGCUAGCUCAGCUGGUAGAGCUGCCGACUUUUAAUCGGUAGGUCCGGGGUUCGAUUCCCUGGCGGGGCA